UUUAUUCAUUUUAUCUUGUUGACUCCUCCAAUAGUGAGCAAUCAGAGCAUUGAUCUCUUUGCAUAAUUUUUUAGUGAGAUCAAACACGAAGUCGCAUAUGUCAUAAUCGCCCUAGCCACAACUUUUAUCUAAACUUUCUUCACAACUUUUGACAAAAGCUUCUCCUUCGAACCCUGUAUACACAUCCAAAUCCUCUGUUUGAGGUACUCAAACUCCUUACUCCUUUAA
rnacentral:rRNA from 1 species